GUAUUAGGUUGGUACAAAAGUAAUUGUGGUUUUUGCCCCUACUUUUAAUGGUAAAAACUGCAAUUACUUUUGCAGCAACCUAAUA
ensembl:miRNA